GGACCCGCACAAGUAGUGGAGCAUGUGGUUUAAUUCGAAGAUACGCGCAGAACCUUACCAACACUUGACAUGUUCGUCGCGACUUUAAGAGAUUGAAGUUUUCGGUUCGGCCGGACGAAACACAGGUGCUGCAUGGCUGUCGUCAGCUCGUGUCGUGAGAUGUUGGGUUAAGUCCCGCAACGAGCGCAACCCUCACUUUUAGUUGCCAUCAUUUAGUUGGGCACUCUGAAAGAACUGCCAGUGAUAAGCUGGAGGAAGGUGGGGAUGACGUCAAGUCCUCAUGGCCCUUACGUGUUGGGCUACACACGUGCUACAAUGAUAUUUACAACAGGAAGCAAAACGGCGACGUUAAGCAAAUCCUUAAAAAAUAUCUCAGUUCGGAUUGCACUCUGCAACUCGAGUGCAUGAAGCUGGAAUUACUAGUAA
rnacentral:rRNA from 1 species